rnacentral:tRNA from 1 species
GGGGUUGUCGUCUAAUGAUAAGACUCUUUUCUGUCGGGGGAGCUAAUGUGAGUUCGAAUCUCAUCAACCCUC